AAAAAAUGGAAAAGUGUUAAAAUGGAAUAAAAAUCAAAAUGCAUGAGCUUCACUUUUUGAGAAAUGUUGAAGGCAUGUACCUUUGUCACAAGAUUCUGAAAUGGACCUUCAGCUAAUAUGUGCUUUGCAUUUCUCACCAUAGUCUAUUUAAUGGCAUUGAAAUCUUUAAGUGUGCAUUCCCAGAGAGAAAGUUUUGAAACUUUUAGUGCGAAAUCCUUGUGACAUGAGGCUUUGGUUUUUGUUUUGACUGUCCCACUAUAUAUCAUAAUAAUUUUUAUAUAUU
rnacentral:misc_RNA from 1 species